rnacentral:rRNA from 1 species
AGAGUUUGAUCAUGGCUCAGGAUUAACGCUGGCGGAGUGCCUAACACAUGCAAGUCGAGCGGCAGCACGAGUAGUUUACUACUUGGUGGCGAGCGGCGGACGGCUGAGUAACGCGUGGGAACGUGCCCCAAAGUGAGGAAUAACUGCCCGAAAGGGUAGCUAAUGCCGCAUAUGAUCUUCGGAUUAAAGUAUUUAUUACGCUUUGGGAGCGGCCCGCGUCGGAUUAGGUAGUUGGUGAGGUAAAGGCUCACCAAGCCGACGAUCCGUAGCUGGUCUGAGAGGAUGACCAGCCAGACUGGAACUGAGACACGGUCCAGACUCCUACGGGAGGCAGCAGUGAGGAAUCUUCCACAAUGGACGAAAGUCUGAUGGAGCAACUCCGCGUGCAGGAUGAAGGCCUUAGGGUCGUAAACUGCUUUUAUGAGUGAAGAAUAUGACGGUAACUCAUGAAUAAGGGUCGGCUAACUACGUGCCAGCAGCCGCGGUCAUACGUAGGACCCAAGCGUUAUCCGGAGUGACUGGGCGUAAAGAGUUGCGUAGGUGGUUUGUUAAGUGAAUAGUGAAAUCUGGCGGCUCAACCGUACAGGCUAUUAUUCAAACUGGCAAACUCGAGAAUGGUAGAGGUAACUGGAAUUUCUUGUGUAGGAGUGAAAUCCGUAGAUAUAAGAAGGAACACCAAUGGCGUAGGCAGGUUACUGGACCAUUUCUGACACUGAGGCACGAAAGCGUGGGGAGCGAACCGGAUUAGAUACCCGGGUAGUCCACGCCGUAAACGAUGGAUACUAGCUGUUGGAGGUAUCGACCCCUUCAGUAGCGAAGCUAACGCGUUAAGUAUCCCGCCUGUGGAGUACGGUCGCAAGAC